rnacentral:lncRNA from 1 species
UUUAGGGGAAAAAAGAGGCCACUGAUGAUAAAUUCUUAUCUAGGCAAUAUUUGUCCUUUCCCACUAGUGACUAGAAACGUAAAGGAAGUGUUAAACAUGAUCACAACACGUACCAGAUUAGAGUAACAGUGGGGCCAUCCAAUAUGGCUGCCAUUGGCUUCACUUAUGCACAGCAGAUGCUUUAUCCAGUCUUAUUUCAGAUCAGUGGUUCGAAUAUACUUAACUUUGAACGUUUAGCUUCACGAUCCUGUUAGUGUGGAGUAUUAGAGAGUUUAUGCUUCGCGUUAUACGUUUCAGGUAAUAAAGAGCAAGUUAGCUUGCCGUUUUAAAACUGAAAUACAUAAUUAUUCUUUCGACACAAGAUAGAAAAUAUGAAACGAAAACGUUCAAAAAAAAUUUGGCAAGAAAAUUCAAACCUGGCGUUUGAAUUGCCGUUCCCGGAAACGUGAAGCUUAUUUAGCUAUUUAAGUAACUCUUUAUUCUUAUUCAUUUACGUGGGAGAGGCGAUGCACUGCAUGAUUGUGUUUAAGUGUUUUCCACAGUAUAAACUGAAUUUAUCAUACGGUACCUCGAUCUACUUUCCAUUAUUCUUGAUUGGUUAGUGGAGCAGUGGAGAGGAUGGUGCGUUGUAAAUAUAUGUUGUGAAUUUCUCUGUGAACUUUUUACUGCAUACUGUAGUUCAUGUAAAGUAAUGUAACAUCAUUUUGUAAAAAUGUUGGGGUUUUUUUUCAUAAUUUAAUCCAAAUUUUCACCCUAUUUUGCUGAAAAUAUGGCAAUCUCUAUUCGAAAUUUAUAUAAAAAAUUCGAUCAGAACGCAGGAAAUCGCAUUUCCGAGGUUCUAGAUUUCCAAAUUUUGCAAAGACAUGAGGAAUUAUGCAUCUCUCAGCUAAAACCAUGGAUCCGGCCCUGUUGUAAAGGCCUAAGAACAUAUUUAUUAUCCAAAUAUGUAGUAGAUAAACCAUAAUAAGUAGACAAUAACUGUAAAUAUAAACAUAAUUAUUUUAACUUAUGCUUUUUAGAUAACAUAGAGAUAAACUUUACUUUGUAAUCUAUAGCAGUUGAAGACAUGGGCUAACCGGGCGGGGGGGGGGCAGUUUGUUGGGCAAACAGUCGGGCAAUAUUGGCUUAUUAUAAAAAUAAAUGGGACAAAUUCUGUGAAUUUUGUGGGAAAUUCUGUCAAUCUUGUAGGAAAUAUGCUAUGUAAUAGGAAUUCCCCCCCCCCGACAACAGUUUUGGAAAGUUUCUCUGAAAAUUUUCUUUUGACAACUCGGACACAAUCCAAAAAAAUAGGGCAAAUCUCUUUCCGCCCCAUAAUUUUUCAAUUCCCGUACGCCCAUGGUUGAAGAGCCACUCUGUGGAUACACUGUUAUUAAAUCAUUAUAUGGAAUUCUUCAGGGGUAAAGUGUUUUGAGUUUGGAAUUCUUCAGGGGUGAAGUGUUUUGAGUUUGGAAUUCUUCAGGGGUAGAGUGUUUUGAGUUUGGAAUUCUUUAGGGGUAAAGUGUUUUGAGUUUGGAAUUCUUCAGGGGUAGGGUGUUUUGAGCUUGGAAUUCUUCAGGGGUAGUGUGUUUUGAGCUUGGAAUUCUUCAGGGGUAGGGUGUUUUGAGUUUGGAAUUCUUCAGGGGUAAAGGAUUUUGAGUUUGGAAUUCUUCAGGGGUAAAGGAUUUUGAGCUUGGAAUUCUUCAGGGGUAGGGUGUUUUGAGUUUGGAAUUCUUCAGGGGUAGAGUGUUUUGAGUUUGGAAUUCUUCAGGGGUAAAGGAUUUUGAGCUUGGAAUUCUUCAGGGGUAAAGUGUUUUGAGUUUGGAAUUCUUCAGGGGUAGAGUGUUUUGAGCUUGGAAUUCUUCAGGGGUAAAGAGGUUUGAGAUCGAAAGUUUUCAGAGUUUGGAAUUCUUCAGGGGUAAAGUGUUUUGAGUUUGGAAUUCUUCAGGGGUAGAGUGUUUUGAGCUUGGAAUUCUUCAGGGGUAAAGGAUUUUGAGCUUGGAAUUCUUCAGGGGUAAAGUGUUUUGAGUUUGGAAUUCUUCAGGGGUAGGGUUUUUGAGUUUGGAAUUCUUCAGGGGUAGGGUGUUUUGAGUUUGGAAUUCUUCAGGGGUAAAGUGUUUUGAGCUUGGAAUUCUUCAGGGGUACAGUGUUUUGAGCUUGGAAUUCUUCAGGGGUAAAGUGUUUUGAGCUUGGAAUUCUUCAGGGGUACAGUGUUUUGAGUUUGGAAUUCUUCAGGGGUGGAGUGUUUUGAGCUUGGAAUUCUUCAGGGGUAGGGUGUUUUGAGUUUGGAAUUCUUCAGGGGUAGAGUGUUUUGAGCUUGGAAUUCUUCAGGGGUAAAGGAUUUUGAGCUUGGAAUUCUUCAGGGGUAUAACUAUGAAAAACAUGUAUCCUCGACAGGGGGGGUACGGAUAUUAAAUGGAAUAGCCCAUU